UAUAUUUGCCGCUUGAAAGAAAGCCUUUCAAAAAAAAAAUGCCCAAUUAGUACUGGGCUGUACAUAACAAUCAUUUAUACAAUAUUAGCAUG
rfam:Mangrovimonas yunxiaonensis strain LY01 contig7, whole genome shotgun sequence.